rnacentral:tRNA from 1 species
GGGGACGUAGCUCAGUUGGGAGAGCGCUAGAAUCGCACUCUAGAGGCCGGGAGUUCGAAUCUCCUCGUCUCCACCA